GCGCCCUACGGGGCGCAGCAGUGGGGAAUAUUGCACAAUGGGCGCAAGCCUGAUGCAGCAACGCCGCGUGAGCGAAGAAGGUCUUCGGAUCGUAAAGCUCUGUCCUUGAGGAAGAAGGAAGUGACGGUACUCAAGGAGGAAGCCUCGGCUAACUACGUGCCAGCAGCCGCGGUAAUACGUAGGUGGCGAGCGUUAUCCGGAAUGAUUGGGCGUAAAGGGUGCGUAGGCGGCCUGCUAAGUCUGGAGUGAAAGGUACCGGCUCAACCGGUAUAGGCUCUGGAAACUGGCGGGCUAGA
rnacentral:rRNA from 1 species